AAAAUGCGAUAAGUAAUGUGAAUUGCAGAAUUCAGUGAAUCAUCGAAUCUUUGAACGCACCUUGCGCUCCUUGGUAUUCCUUGGAGCAUGCCUGUUUGAGUAUCAUGAAAUCUUCAAAGUAAAUCUUUUGUUAACUCAAUUGGUUUCUACUUUGGUAUUGGAGGUCUUUGCAGCUUCACACCUGCUCCUCUUUGUUCAUUAGCUGGAUCUCAGUGUUAUGCUUGGUUCCACUCGGCGUGAUAAGUUAUCUAUCGCUGAGGACACUGUAAAAGGUGGCCAAGGUAAAUGCAGAUGAACCGCUUCUAAUAGUCCAUUGACUUGGACAAUACUUUUAUGAUCUGAUCUCAAAUCAGGUAGGACUACCCGCUGAACUUAAGC
rnacentral:misc_RNA from 1 species